rnacentral:rRNA from 1 species
AGAAUAAGCACCGGCUAACUACGUGCCAGCAGCCGCGGUAAUACGUAGGGUGCAAGCGUUAAUCGGAAUUACUGGGCGUAAAGCGUGCGCAGGCGGUUAUGUAAGACAGAUGUGAAAUCCCCGGGCUCAACCUGGGAACUGCAUUUGAGACUGCAUGGCUAGAGUGCGGGAGAGGGGGAUGGAAUUCCGCGUGUAGCAGUGAAAUGCGUAAAUAUGCGGAGGAACACCGAUGGCGAAGGCAAUCCCCUGGACCUGCACUGACGCUCAUGCACGAAAGCGUGGGGAGCAAACAGGAUUAGAUACCCUGGUAGUCCACGCCCUAAACGAUGUCUACUGGUUGUUGGGUCUUCACUGACU